ensembl:lncRNA
UGGAAGUUCCCGGGCCAGGGAUUAACGAGGACCGGCCCGCAGCCUCCCGGCGUUAGACUGAGGAGCACAGCGUUCACUUCGUCGAGAUCGCUCUUGUUCUUCAAGUAAGCUGUCGAGUUCUCUUCAUGAAAAUGCUGCGUAUUUCUUAUUAAAUAGUGUCUUGUAAUUUACUCCUACGGUUUUUAUUCCUAAUGGGAUGAGAUCCUUUUUCCUUUUUUCCUCGAGGCAUAUGCAGGUCCCCAGGCUAGGGGUCGAAUCAGAGCCACAGCCACAGCCAAGCAGGAUCCGAGCCUCGUCUGCGACCUACACCACCGCUCACAGCAACACCGGAUCCUUAUCCCACUGAGCGAGGCCGGGGAUGGCUCCUAGUGGGAUUCGUUUCUGCUGAGCCGCGACGGGGACUCCCCCCUUCUCCAUUUUUCAGCUGACGACUGCUGGGGAAACCUUACAGUUGGUUUCCCUGCCUUUAACCGCCCACCUUUCCAAACAGCUACUGGUUCUAGGAACGGUAUUUUGGUUAAUUUCCUUGAAUUUAUUUUUCUGAAUAUCACCUGCAAACUAGGAUCUUUUCUACUUUUCUUCCCAAUAUCUGCACUUAUUCCUUCUUCUCUUCCCUCCAGUAGAUGCUGAAUAAUAGUUUUACUCGAACCCCCUAUUUCACUCUGAAGACUAUCACCACCUACUGGUGGUUUCAAAGAACUACUUUUCAUCACCUUCUACUUUACUGCGUUCUGAAUCCUAACACGCUGUUAAAUUUCACCAGCGCCUGUCAGGUCUCCGCGGGCGAUUUCGAAGGGCUCUGACAUUCCUUCUUUGGGUCACUGGCUGGGCUCCACUUGGCGGAGUGUGACACAAGCCCAAGGGCAAAACACAAAUUUCAUUGAACUGAAUUUUAAAUAAAAAUUUCCCACUACCUAGUAUUUUGAGAAGAACUCUGUUAGUGCCAGUUUUCUAAUAUCUAGUGCCACAGGAGAGACGAAAAGACAAGGCUGAAAUAAAUGAAAAUGUCUACACAACACAAUGCGUAUGUCCAACAAGAAAAGUAAAAGCUAUAAUCAACAUUUUCAAUUUUAUGGCGGGUGCACUACUGAUUACAAAAAAAUCUGUAACAGCAUUGUGCCUUUCCACCUAGAAGGAGCUCAGGAAACACCUGCUAAAUAAAUGCUCGACUGUUCCCCAAACACACCGCCUCUGGUUCUCUCAGGUCUUCAUAGGAACACACCCUCCACCUGAGACACCCACAUGCGGCCGGAACCCUCCCACCUGUCCUGCAGGUUUCAGCCGAAGGACCGGCUGGGUCCAGACACCUGCUCCAGGUCCCUCCUCGGCUCCCUCACACGGCGCUAGCAUAUCGCCCACCCUCUCACCACUAGGACCUGCUUGUGGGUCCGCCUUGCUCCCCCCUCAGACUGCUGCUCUCCUUGUAAACAAGGCCUCCCCUCCCGCGUCCUCCAUACCCUCCCCUCACACACGCACUGAAGAGAUGCUGCAGAAGGCGGGAGUGGCCAGAGACGGAAUUCCAGACCCGAACCAGCUCUGUGCCCACAGGCCAAUCAGUUACCACCUCUGAAUCUCAGCUUUCCUCACUUACAAAAUUUAACAAUAUCUCUUCUCCUAUCCAGCUCACAGGACUGAUGGGAGAAUCAAAUAAGAUGGAAGAUGGUAAGAGUUUUUCUACAGCCCUACAUUGUUUUGCAGAAGGUUUUAAAAUGUUAACAAAUUCCACAAUAAAAACCAUAAAAAACAGAGUUCCUGUCAUGGCUCAGCGGUUAACGAACCCGACUAGCAUCCAUGAGGACUCAGGUUCGAUCCCUGGCCUCCCUCAGUGGGUUAAGGAUCCGGCGUUGCCAAGAGCUGUGGUGUAGGCUGCAGACGUGGCUCGGAUCUGGCCUGGCUGCGGCUGUGGUGUAGGCCGGUGGCUACAGCUUCAAUUUGACCCUUAGCCUAGGAACCUCCAUAUGCCAUGGGUGCAGCUCUAAAAAGACAAAAAAAAAAAAAAAUUAAAAAUCCAUUCUGGCUUUAGAACAAAUAUAUGAGACUACUUUUCUACAAAGUAGCUAUUAUCACAUGUGCUCUGCACUAUUUUUUAUUACCACUCCACACACUUAUUAAUAAGGACAAUCUCUUACCCAAGGGAGGCAGGGGAGCAAAAUGAAGGAAGUUUAAGACAAUAAAUAAACAAGUCACUCUUUGGAUUGACAGUUCAAACAAAUGCAAUAUUGAUAUUUUAAGAAUACUAGAUUUUUCCAUUAUGGCAUUUCUAAAAUUGUAACACAUCCCCUAUUUUUUAUCUAUUCACAUAAAAAAGAAAAUGGACACCAACGUCCUUUAAAAUCCCUCCACAGUGAGGUCAGCAAAGCGAAGGGCAGGAGGCUGUGGAUCCCACAUCGCAUUUGCGUAAAAAAGUGCUUUAAGAAAAGUGUGCUCCUACUAAGCUCAGACAUCUUCCACACGGGUGCCAACGGAACAGUGGCCUCCGAGGAGAGGGGACGAAAGCCUAGGAACCUUUGCCCUCCCCAUACAGCCUCCUGCACGGCUUGAGCAUCUUACUAUUCGGAAAAGCAUCACGAAGAUUCUUCUUAAUCAUGGAUAAUAUUUAUAGUGUAUCACUCUACAAAAAAAAACACUCUAUCAUCUAUAGAGUAAAAGCAAAGGAAACGAGAUCAUCACAUAUUCAAGCUGAACGUGGACAGCGCAGCGAGGGGGCCUGGGUGUGUGUGGGGGGGGGCAACAGGAAGUUCUGUACCCUGAGGGCGUAGGUAUACCUUUCAGUGACAUGUCCCAGUGUUCCUGUCCUAAGACCUGUCAGCAACACCACAUCUUCAGGUGUGUCCCUGUAACCCGCUAAGUGCACACAGUCCAGAGGCUCUGGCUGCUGAGCGCCAGCACAGAAGCGUGGCCCGCUCGGCUUACUCUGCUAUGUGUUUAACAUCCUCUCAAAACUGGAUGGUUAGGAGUUCCCGUUGUGGCUCAGUGGUUGAUGAAUCCAACUAGGAACCAUGAGGUUGCGGGUUCGAUCCCUGGCCUUGCUCAGCGGGUUAAGGAUCCGGCGUUGCCAUGAGCUGUGGUGGAGGUUGCAGACGUGGCUCGGAUCCGGCGCUGCUGGGGCUGUGGUGUAGGCCGGUGGCUACAGCUCCGAUUGGACCCCUAGGCUGGGAACCUCCAUAUGCUGCAGGAGUGGCCCUGGAAAAGGCAGAAGCACACACACACGCACACACACACACACACACACACACACACAGCUGUAUGGUUAGGUAUAUAGAGCAAAAGCCAAUACCUGCAAUCUUCAGAACAGAAAAUUUCAAGAUGUCUUCAGAAUAGGUAACGUCACUUGCACACUGCUACGAAUUUAUCAGCCCUUCCUCAUUCUAGUUUGUUCACCCUCAAAUUUAUUUUCUAGCAAGUAACCUCACCAUCUCGCACCAGAAGAUUAAGCCGUACUUACAAGCAUCCACAGAAAACACCCCCUACCACCAUAUGCAGGGGGUGGGGGAUCAAGUCGUUACGCGGAGACAUCGAUCUGUAAAAUCCAUACACAUCUUUUUUGCUGUAAAGGUCUAACAUGCUACUUUAUCAGCAGCUAACCCAAAACCUAAACCGGACUGAAUGCAGAUGUUCACAUCGAGGCAACUGCAACAUCCAAGAAUACAUCUGAAACUUCCCAUCAAGCAAAAGAGAAACAGACUCAGGGACAGAGAGAACACACUUGUGGUUGCCAAGGGGGAGGGGGGAAGAGUGGGAUGGGCGCGGAGUUUGGGGUUAGAUGCUGUUGUUUCGGUUUUGGCCACCCCAGGGCAUACAGAGUUCGCAGGCCGGGGAUCAGCUCUAAGCCACUCUUGCAACCUGUGCCACGGCUGCAGCAACACCAGAUCCU